GUUAGGAAUAUUGGACAAUGGGCGCAAGCCUGAUCCAGCCAUGCCGCGUGAGUGAUGAAGGCCCUAGGGUUGUAAAGCUCUUUCACCGGUGAAGAUAAUGACGGUAACCGGAGAAGAAGCCCCGGCUAACUUCGUGCCAGCAGCCGCGGUAAUACGAAGGGGGCUAGCGUUGUUCGGAAUUACUGGGCGUAAAGCGCACGUAGGCGGACAUUUAAGUCAGGGGUGAAAUCCCGGGGCUCAACCCCGGAACUGCCUUUGAUACUGGGUGUCUGGAGUAUGGAAGAGGUAAGUGGAAUUCCGAGUGUAGAGGUGAAAUUCGUAGAUAUUCGGAGGAACACCAGUGGCGAAGGCGGCUUACUGGUCCAUUACUGACGCUGAGGUGCGAAAGCGUGGGGAGCAAACAGGAUUAGAUACCCGAGUAGUCC
rnacentral:rRNA from 1 species